rnacentral:tRNA from 1 species
GCCUGGCUGGCUUAGUUGGUAGAGCAUGUGACUCUUGAUCGUGGGGUUGUGAGUUCAAGCCCCAUGGUGUGCA